CAAUGGGAUAGCUCAGUCGGUAGAGCAUAAGCCUCUUAAUCUCAGGGUCGUGGGUUCAAGUCAAAUGCUGGGAAAGA